GCUCCAAUAGCGUAUAUUAAAGUUGUUGCAGUUAAAAAGCUCGUAGUUGAAUUUCUGGUGCGUUCUCUCUUGGCACCUGUCGAGAGAGAGCGUAUCAUCCGCCAGAGAACUAUAGUCGUCCUCAGUGGUCGAUAUAGGGAUCUGGCAAUUUACUUUGAAAAAAUUAGAGUGUUCAAGGCAGGCCAUUGCCAUGAAUACAC
rnacentral:rRNA from 1 species